AGCGCAGACGGAGAGGUAAGUCAGAUGUGGAAGCCCCGGGCAUAACCCGGGGAGUGCAUUUGAAACUAUCACUCUUGAGUACUGGAGAGGUAAGCGGAAUUCCUGGUGUAGCGGUGAAAUGCGUAGAUAUCAGGAGGAACACCGGUGGCGAAGGCGGCUUACUGGACAGAAACUGACGUUGAGGCUCGAAAGCGUGGGUAGCAAACA
rnacentral:rRNA from 1 species